AGUUGGAAUAGUGAGAAUCACUCAGAUAGUAGCAUUAUGGACACCUUUAUUUUGUUCAUGUGUCAAAAAUUGCAGUUUCAUGCGUUGAAUAUUUUUAUAGAAAAAAUAAGCCCUGUUGGUGCUGACCAACACAAAGUAGUUGAGUACUGAGUAAUUAUGAUGCUGAAAUGCAACUCAGCAAAAUGAGGAUCCUAAUUAAUGAAAACUAAAUACGGUUGUAUUCCUAUGAAAUGUUCUGGUUUACUAGAGAUGUUAAUGCUACCAUCAAUAAAUAGUGCCUAGAGGAGAACUGGGAAAAAUAGUUUUUCCCUCCAUAUCUUAAGUAAAUGCUUCUAAUCAGUGUCUCACUAACAGGUUAAAAGGACUAAUUGAUGAAUGUA
rnacentral:misc_RNA from 1 species